CCUACGGGAGGCAGCAGUGGGGAAUAUUGGACAAUGGGGGCAACCCUGAUCCAGCCAUGCCGCGUGUGUGAAGAAGGCCCUCGGGUUGUAAAGCACUUUCAGUGAGGAAGAACGCCUGGUGGUUAAUACCCAUCAGGAAAGACAUCACUCACAGAAGAAGCACCGGCUAACUCCGUGCCAGCAGCCGCGGUAAUACGGAGGGUGCGAGCGUUAAUCGGAAUUACUGGGCGUAAAGCGCGCGUAGGUGGCUUGAUAAGCCGGUUGUGAAAGCCCCGGGCUCAACCUGGGAACGGCAUCCGGAACUGUCAAGCUAGAGUGCAGGAGAGGAAGGUAGAAUUCCCGGUGUAGCGGUGAAAUGCGUAGAGAUCGGGAGGAAUACCAGUGGCGAAGGUGGCCUUCUGGACUGACACUGACACUGAGGUGCGAAAGCGUGGGUAGCAAACAGGAUUAGAUACCCCAGUAGUC
rnacentral:rRNA from 1 species